CUCUCAGGAAUAUGUGGAAAUUCUCCUGGGUUUUCCAGCUCCUGAGAGAGCCCUGGCUUUGUGGGGUGAAGUCCUUUGAUUGCCUCAGGUUCCUGAUCUGUUCGUGACCCUGUUAGCCCAAAAGCUGGCAGAGCUCCAUUCUUUUUAGGUCUUAUUCUCAGACGGUCUUGGGUAAAUGGUGGCUGAUUGCCUUCAGCAUCUAGAACAAAACACUCUAUGGCCCAGAGGAAUUCCAGCUGGAAUCUAUGAUCUUAUUCUCUUGAGGAAUGGACCAUGCAGUAUCCUUCAAGGAAGAAUCAAGAAUGUUUCCACAGAGAAUAUACAUAUUUCAUCUCUUUCUCUGCUGAAUGGAUCCCCACUGAAAGCCAUGAAUUUCUCUUAUUAGACCCUGUAGAAUCCCAGUUUAUGGCAGUGACAUUAAAAACAUCUAGUUUAUGACUUGGAUUAGGCAGCCUGUAAAAUGGCUUCCAGUGAUCCCUGCUCUCUGGUAUGUAUGCCUUUGUAUAAUACCCUCCUCAUGAGUGUAGGCAGAGGUAACAUCACUUUUGAAACUAGGUUAUAUAUAUUCAAACAAACAAACAAACCUGUGGCUUCCAUUUUGGGUACUUUAUCUCACACUCUGAUUUCUUGCUUCGUGGGAAACAGACUGUAAUAUUGUAAGCAGUGCUAUGGAGAGGUCCAUGUGGUAAGGAAGUGAUAGGUCCUGAUAACAGCCAGUGAGGAUCUAAGGUGGAUCCCUUUCUGAGUUGAAUAUUGAGAUAGAUGACUACAGCCCUGGCUACACCUUGAUUGCACCUCAUGAGGAAUUCUGAACAAAAACACUGUGCUGAACUGUGUCCAGGCUCAUGAGCCACAUAAACUAUGAGAAAACAAAUAUUUGUUUCAAGCCAUUAAGUUUUAAUUUGUUACACAGCAAUAGAUAACUACCACAUGGAAGGAUUCAAUAAGAGAAGGGUUUUUCAUAAGUGAAAUGUUAUUUUCAUCUCACAUUUCAAUUAUUAGAAUAUAAAUGAAAGAAAAUAAAUUUGGAUAGGCUCUCAUAAAUUCAAUGAUAAGAAUUUGGAAAAUGCAACCACAUGAAAACCAGGAAGUAAAAGGAAAACAUAAGAGACAUCUUCCCAGAUGAGAGUAAAUAUCUGGUUCCCUGAGAAGUGUAGUUUGAGAAUGGAGAAAUCAGAUGUUACUGGAAAGAGGCUAGGACUAUAUUAUUUCUUGCUUCCUGUCAAGUCUUUUCAACUCAAGAGAAAGUAAAUUUUCUUGACAAACCAUUCAAAAUUAAAGGAUAGGUGGGAGUAUAUGUGUCCCUGAAGGAACAAGUGACCUUCAUUGAAAGCAGCAGCUUGGUUGAAUAAAUACUGUACAGAAGUGGAAUAAAGAGUAGCUGACAACAAUGCUCAAAUAGUUACACAUGAAGUUUUAAUGAGCUAUUUCAUAUUAAGAUACAUAUUGAGAAUUCAAACCAGAGAGACCAGUUAAUAGAUAUUUUCCCAACUCUGUUUUAAGGUGAUCAUAGAAAUGAUACCCACAAGUUAGUCACAGUGGCCUGCAUCCAUUUCGAUAUAUCAGUGAUGUAUUCUGAUUGGCCAGUAAUCACCUAUACUGACUGUUAAAUAUUUUAGUUAUCACUCCUAUGCAUGGUGAAUUUGAGUUCUGGUUUUCUUUAGCCUUGUGUUAUUUAUGUGUAAAGUUGGAUUAUGGGAGGCAAAGACUUUCUCAUGUAUCAUUCAUGCUCAAGUAAAUGGCAGUGGGGUAGGGAUGUAAAUGAAACUGCAUGAUAAGCCCUGCAAGUCAUUCUGAGGUAUCAAUUUUGCUUACUGGUGUUUAAUUGCAGUCAUUGUCAUAUUAAUGCAACCACUAAUACAUUAUGGAGUAAGAUGCAAAAAUCACAUGAGUCUUAAGAGAAAAGAAAUGUGCUGUCUGUGGUGGGCCCCCUUUGCAUUAUUCUCUAACUUCAUAUUUUAUACCUCUACUAUUAGAGAAAUUUCAGUAGAAAAUAGUGAGGGGCACCGUUUUAGAGUUUUUGUUGUUAUAGGAAUGCUUUUACUACAGCUAGGUCCCCUCGUACAUCUUUAUGUUCUUUGGCAGUCUAGAGAACCAGAAGAGCAAACUCUAUGAGAUAGAAACCCUAAGAAUUUACCUCCAGCAUCCCUUCUCUUCUGUCAUUAAAUUGAAUUUGUAGCCAACUCAAAGGCUGACAACUUAUACUAUGGUUUUUAUAUUUUUAUAUUAUAAUUUAUAUUAUGGCUUAUGUCAAAAUGUUUUGUUCACUGCUUUGAAAGUAUCUUCUGUUUACUUUUGUUAUCAUUUCAUAUUUUAAUUUUUUCCUUUCUAAUUGUUAGAAACUCAUGUAUUUAAUUUUAUCUUUCAAAGAACAUUUUUAAAAGGCUUACUCUGUUUAUAUGUAUAUUUUGCACAAAGCUUUCCAUUCAUAAACAAAAGGUGAAUAGGAAUCUGAAUUGAAAACUACGUAAUUUCUUUUCUCCUUUUUGUCAAAUCAUCACAGUAUAGAUUAGUCAUUCUGUAUGAAGUGCAUUGCCAAGACAUAGUCACAUUUGUGUACAAAUGUGAAGGCUAUAUCUCAAUAGAAAUCAAAAACAAAAAAAUACAGAAGACCAUUAGCUAAUAAUACUAAUGAUCUAGUGUAGAAAGCAUGUGCCAACUGAUCUAGACUCUUGUGACAGUUGUAUAUCUACCCAGCUGCAUGACCUUAGGUUUAUCAAAAUCUUGAUCUCCCAGACUACAAAUGAUUAAGAGGGAUGGAGGCCCCUUACAGUUUUAAGAUUCUAGAAUUCUAAGUGUGUGUAACUGGAGCAAAUUUUAUUUUCUAAAAUUUGCAUAAUAAAUUUAAAAAUAGGAGAAAAACAAAUAAUUAAGGUACAUAUUUCUAGAAGUCUUUUUUAGGUGAUUUAUACUACCAGGAAUGGAUUUACUACUAAAUAUUGGUUUUGCCUAAUUCAGCAUUGCUAUGUAAUUGGUAUAACUCCAUAGACAAAGAGCAUUUGGUCCUAACAUAGCUUGUAUUUUAUAUGUAUAUACACUAUUUCUAUUUAAGUUUCUGUGUAGUCAUGUUUUAUCCUUUCAAAAUGAAGAUUAGUUUUAUUAUGUAUUUUCUUUUGUCUAUAAACAUUCAAUGAAUUCACACUGAAAACUGAUUAUGAACAGAUAGUCUGGUAGGCACUUAAGGAAACACAUAUGAAAGACUAAGUCCCCCUCUGCCCUCAAUAUGCUCACAAGACUACAGUUACUGAAUCCUGAUCUCAAAACCUAGCUAGCAAAGUCCUUGAAUCAGGUGAUAGUUCAGAAUACCAUUCAUGCUCUCUCCCAGGAGUAUAUCUGAGGAAGGACAGUUCUUUCUAGUUUUCUACAUCCUGGUCGUAUAGGUCAACCACAGGAAAAUUAAAUGAAUCUAUUGUUUUGUUGACCUAGCCUUUUCAUAUAACUCUCAUCUAUAAAUGUAUUACCAAAUACUAUUUAUGUAAAGGGACUUGAAUGACAAAUAUUUUGAAAUUAAAACCACAAUGGUUAGCAAACCUUUUAAAUUAGAUAAAUGUUGACCUCCCAUUGGUGAACAUAUAAAGUGCUACCAAGAUCUGCCUAUGAAAGACUUUGGAAGUGGAAAUUCAUCUUUGUAAUAAUCCUGUUAUCUGUAGGCUGACCUCAAGCCUUCAUGACAUUCAGGGCCCCUUAUUCCUAACUGUAUCUUCUAUGUUGGGCAUUGUGCUCUUGCAUCUAACAGGAAAACAACUUUCAGUGUUGCCACCUUUUGAACAGGAGAGAUUUCUAAAGAUUAGAAAAUUACUAAAUUUAAAUAUACAUAGUUCUAAAAUAUGAUACUUUUCUACCCAUGCAUUCAAAUAUAUUCUAACUUUAAAAUCCUGUAAAUAUUUAUAUUUGUAAUGAUUUUAUUUAUCUGAUCCAAUUAAUUGGCAAGAAUAUGUGGUGAAAGAUUUUUUACAUAUUUGUAUUGUUCUGUGUGAGACAUCUAUUGUAAGCAUUGCUUCAGGCUCUCAUUUUUGUCUGCCUUCCAGGAUUUGCUGGCCCAAGUGCUGUGUGCUAGACUUAGUGUCAGUCACAAAGGGGAAGGAAACUUGCAGUUGAGCCAGACAGUUUUGUUAUUCCUUUAAAAUUAAAAGCAUAUGAAACAGAUACAGCUUAUUAAAGUUUUUUAAUAAAUAAAAUAAACUUAAAUAACAAAACAAUAAAAUUCAAAAACAACUUAAAAUAGAGUUUAAUGCUGUAACCGUAGGAAAAAAGCAUGAUUAUUUGUGGGAAGAACAUUAUUAAAGGCCAUAUUCCCAAAUAUGAAUUAUACAAAGAUAGAUUAUGUUACUUGAAAAAAACUUAAAGAUUUCUCAAUUUUACUUUGAGGAAUUAUAAAAUGUUAUUUUGUGGCAAGUAAGAUGAAGUACAGUAUUAUCAUCAAUCACUGUUGCUAUCUUAUAUACAAGAUUUUUGGAAACAUCCUUUUAGCAAUACCUUUUCCACUUGAGCAGCAUUAGAAAUUUUGUUCUUGUUAAUAGGUAUAAGCAUGUUCUAAUCCUGUACUUUUGUUAAAUUAUCUAUUUUAUUGACUUUCAUAAUAGAUUUUUUUGAGAAUAUUCUUUUUUUCUGAUUAGAGUUUAAGUAGAUUAUAAUUUUUCACUAGAAAGCAUUUAAAAUGCUGCUCAUUUUCCAAAGUUAGUGUGGCUUGAUUAUCUGACAAAUCCUGCCAGCAGCCUGUAGGUCUGAUAUACCUUAUGUAACAUCAUCUGCAUUAUUAUUAUUAUAGCAGCCAUUUUAUAAGCAGAUAGGAAUGUUUAAAUAAUCAUUAUCAGGUAAUCAAAUGUAACAUACUCUUAAGGGUAAAUUAAUUUAAAAAAAUCACUAUUACUAACAUCAUGAUUGUACAACCAGUUUUACAAUUUUGUACAACCUUUAGUUACUAAAUCUGAUUUUUGUGUAUACUUUUCAAAUCUUUCUUUAAUGCAGUGUCUUAAAACAAACAUAAAUGCACAAGUCCAGCUUGAUCAGUUUUUCAGUAGUUUUCCAGCCUUUCUUGAUUACUAAAAAAUAAAAGGAAAGAAAAUUUUGAGAAGAAA
rnacentral:lncRNA from 1 species